rnacentral:rRNA from 1 species
GAUGAACGCUGGCGGCGUGCCUAAUACAUGCAAGUCGAGCGAACGGACGAGAAGCUUGCUUCUCUGAUGUUAGCGGCGGACGGGUGAGUAACACGUGGAUAACCUACCUAUAAGACUGGGAUAACUUCGGGAAACCGUAGCUAAUACCGGAUAAUAUUUUGAACCGCAUGGUUCAAAAGUGAAAGACGGUCUUGCUGUCACUUAUAGAUGGAUCCGCGCUGCAUUAGCCAGUUGGUAAGGUAACGGCUUACCAAGGCAACGAUGCAUAGCCGACCUGAGAGGGUGAUCGGCCACACUGGAACUGAGACACGGUCCAGACUCCUACGGGAGGCAGCAGUAGGGAAUCUUCCGCAAAGGGCGAAAGCCUGACGGAGCAACGCCGCGUGAGUGAUGAAGGUCUUCGGAUCGUAAAACUCUGUUAUUAGGGAAGAACAUAUGUGUAAGUAACUGUGCACAUCUUGACGGUACCUAAUCAGAAAGCCACGGCUAACUACGUG